rnacentral:rRNA from 1 species
URCCUUUUGCAUCAUGCUUGAAUGACGAUUAUAUGAAUAAUUAUUCUUUAACCGAAAGUUCUGGAUUUCUUUUAGCAAUUGCUUAGCGCAUUUUCUCAGGUAGAGAUGUUUUAUUAAAUUGUAAAAGUGGGGUGAAAAAUUAAACGUCAGGGCUGAUAACUGUUUAACAGCUUAAUGAAUUUAAAUUAUUUUCAAGGUUAAGAGAUCUUGUAAAGAGAUAUAUUUAUUUUAUAUUACAUGUAUGAUAGGGUUAAAAGUACCCAUUCAUUUUAAAAUUGUUCAAAAUUUAAAAUUUUAUGAAUAUAAUUAAAUUAUAUAUUGAGGCUGUUUAAUACAAUUUUUUGAAAAUUAAGAAUGUUUAAAUUAGUAAUAAAAAAAAAGCAAUUAUUUCUCAAGUAUUGCCCGUCUGUUUAUUAAAAACAUUUCCAUAUGAAAAUUUUUAUGGUAGUACCUGCUCUAUGCAUUUUACAUGUAAAUGGCCGCAGUAUUUUGACUGUGCGAAGGUAGCAUAAUUAAUUGCCUUAUAAUUGAAGGCUUGUUUGAAUGGUUUGACGCGGUGAUUACGAAUAUUUGAUUUUUUGUUGAAAUUAGUUUGGAGUGCACAGAACCCUCCUUUAUUAAUUAGACGGAAAGACCCCAGGAUCUUUUAUUUUUUGUCUGGGGCGGAUUGAAAUAUUUCAUUUCUAUUUUGACCCUUCUUUGGUUUAGUGGUUUAAGUUACCCUGGGGAUAACAGUGUGAUAAUUUAUUAGAGACCAUAUCGAAUAAAUUGUUUGCUACCUCGAUGUUGACUUAGGUAAAUAAGUUAGGCGCAGCCGCUUAAUUUUUUGGUCUGUUCGACCAAGAAUACCUCCAUGAGUUGAGUUAAGACCGGUGUAGCCAGGUCGGUUCUUAUCUAUU